AGAAAAGAAAAGGCCUUCAGUCAAAACGUGCGACUGCUAGCCUAUACAUGAAAAACAAUUCAAAAGACAAGUUAAAUGAAAUGAAAGGAAGGAAAGGAAAGGAAAGGAAAGGAAAGGAAAGGAAAGGAAAGGAAAGGAAAGGAAAGGAAAGGAAAGGAAAGGAAAGGAAAGGAAAGAAAAGGAAAGGAAAGGAAAGGAAAGGAAAGGAAAGGAAAGGAAAGGAAAGGAAAGGAAAGGAAAGGAAAGGAAAGGAAAGGAAAGNN
rnacentral:lncRNA from 1 species